rnacentral:rRNA from 1 species
UUUAGGCAUGCAAGUCGAGCGCGAACGAGAGCUUCGGCUCUCCAGUAGAGCGGCGAAAGGGUGAGUAAUGCUUGGGCAACCUGCCCCCUGCACUGGGAUAGCCGCUGGAAACGGCGGGUAAUACCGGAUGGUCUCGCGACGUCCACGGGCGCUGCGAGUAAAGGUGGGGAUCCUUCGGGACCUACCAGCGGGGGAGGGGCUCGAGUCCUAUCAGCUUGUUGGUGCGGUAAUGGCGCACCAAGGCGUAGACGGGUAGCCGGACUGAGAGGUUGGCCGGCCACACUGGCACUGAGACACUGGCCAGACUCCUACGGGAGGCUGCAGUCGAGAAUCUUCCGCAAUGGGCGCAAGCCUGACGGAGCGACGCCGCGUGGAGGAAGAAGGCCUUCGGGUUGUAAACUCCUGUCAGGGUUUAUGAAUGCGGCCGAGACGAAUAGCCUCGGUCGUUGACAAAGGACCCAAAGGAAGCCACAGCUAACUUCGUGCCAGCAGCUGCGGUAAUACGAAGGCGGCGAGCGUUGUUCGGAUUCACUGGGCAUAAAGGGCGUGUAGGCGGGACGGCAAGCGGCGUGUGAAAGCCCGGAGCUCAACUCCGGAAUGGCACGCCGAACUGCCGCUCUAGAGGACAGGGAGGGGGAUGUGGAACUCUAGGUGUAGCGGUGAAAUGCGUAGAUAUCUAGAGGAACGCCGGUGGCGAA